rnacentral:rRNA from 1 species
GCUACACAUGCAGUCGAACGGUAACAGGAAGCAGCUUGCUGCUUUGCUGACGAGUGGCGGACGGGUGAGUAAUGUCUGGGAAACUGCCCGAUGGAGGGGGAUAACUACUGGAAACGGUAGCUAAUACCGCAUAACGUCUGACCAAAGAGGGGGACCUUCGGGCCUCUUGCCAUCGGAUGUGCCCAGAUGGGAUUAGCUAGUAGGUGGGGUAACGGCUCACCUAGGCGACGAUCCCUAGCUGGUCUGAGAGGAUGACCAGCCACACUGGAACUGAGACACGGUCCAGACUCCUACGGGAGGCAGCAGUGGGGAAUAUUGCACAAUGGGCGCAAGCCUGAUGCAGCCAUGCCGCGUGUAUGAAGAAGGCCUUCGGGUUGUAAAGUACUUUCAGCGAGGAGGAAGGUGUUGUGGUUAAUAACCGCAGCAAUUGACGUUACUCGCAGAAGAAGCACCGGCUAACUCCGUGCCAGCAGCCGCGGUAAUACGGAGGGUGCAAGCGUUAAUCGGAAUUACUGGGCGUAAAGCGCACGCAGGCGGUCUGUUAAGUCAGAUGUGAAAUCCCCGGGCUCAACCUGGGAACUGCAUUUGAAACUGGCAGGCUUGAGUCUCGUAGAGGGGGGGUAGAAUUCCAGGUGUAGCGGUGAAAUGCGUAGAGAUCUGGAGGAAUACCGGUGGCGAAGGCGGCCCCCUGGACGAAGACUGACGCUCAGGUGCGAAAGCGUGGGGAGCAAACAGGAUUAGAUACCCUGGUAGUCCACGCUGUAAACGAUGUCGACUUGGAGGUUGUGCCCUUGAGGCGUGGCUUCCGGAGCUAACGCGUUAAGUCGACCGCCUGGGGAGUACGGCCGCAAGGUUAAAAACUCAAAUGAAUUGACGGGGGCCCGCACAAGCGGUGGAGCAUGUGGUUUAAUUCGAUGCAACGCGAAGAACCUUACCUACUCUUGACAUCCAGAGAACUUAGCAGAGAUGCUUUGUGCCUUCGGGACUCUGAGACAGGUGCUGCAUGGCUGUCGUCAGCUCGUGUUGUGAAAUGUUGGGUUAAGUCCCGCAACGAGCGCAACCCUUAUCCUUUGUUGCCAGCGGUUAGGCCGGGAACUCAAAGGAGACUGCCAGUGAUAAACUGGAGGAAGGUGGGGAUGACGUCAAGUCAUCAUGGCCCUUACGAGUAGGGCUACACACGUGCUACAAUGGCAUAUACAAAGAGAAGCGACCUCGCGAGAGCAAGCGGACCUCAUAAAGUAUGUCGUAGUCCGGAUUGGAGUCUGCAACUCGACUCCAUGAAGUCGGAAUCGCUAGUAAUCGUAGAUCAGAAUGCUACGGUGAAUACGUUCCCGGGCCUUGUACACACCCCCGUCGCACCAUGGGAGUGGGUUGCAAAAGAAGUAGGUAGCUUAACCUUCGGGAGGGCGCUACCAUCUUG